AACGAACGCUGGCGGCGCGCCCAAUACAUGCAAGUCGAGCGAGAAGACGUAGCAAUACGUUUGUAAAGCGGCGAACGGGUGAGGAAUACAUGGGUAACCUACCCUCGAGUGGGGAAUAACUAGCCGAAAGGUUAGCUAAUACCGCGUACGCUCCUUGGACUUCGGUUCAGGGAGGAAAGCGAUACCGUGGGUAUCGCGCUCUUGGAUGGGCUCAUGUCCUAUCAGCUUGUUGGUGAGGUAACGGCUCACCAAGGCUUCGACGGGUAGCUGGUCUGAGAGGACAAUCAGCCACACUGGCACUGCGACACGGGCCAGACUCCUACGGGAGGCAGCAGUAAGGAAUAUUGCGCAAUGGGCGAAAGCC
rnacentral:rRNA from 1 species